AGGGCUUAAAUGUAGAUUGACAGGUUUGGAAACAGACUUUUCUUCGGACAAUUUACAAGGUGCUGCAUGGUUGUCGUCAGCUCGUGCCGUGAGGUGUCAGGUUAAGUCCUAUAACGAGCGCAACCCCUAUUGUUAGUUACCAUCGAGUAAUGUCGGGAACUCUAGCAAGACUGCCGGUGCAAACCGUGAGGAAGGUGGGGAUGACGUCAAAUCAUCACGGCCCUUACGUCCUGGGCUACACACGUGCUACAAUGGUCAGUACAGAAAGCAGCUACCUGGCGACAGGAUGCGAAUCUCAAAAGCUGAUCACAGUUCGGAUUGGAGUCUGCAACUCGACUCCAUGAAGCUGGAAUCGCUAGUAAUCGGAUAUCAGCCAUGAUCCGGUGAAUACGUUCCCGGGCC
rnacentral:rRNA from 1 species